AGACCAUGAUGCGGGCAUUUCGUUAGCAGCUCCUUAAACCUUUCCAAUGUCUCAUACAAGGAUUCCCCGUCAUUUUGAGAGUAGGUGUUGAUCUCGGUCAUGAGUUU
rnacentral:snoRNA from 1 species